UUCCAUUUACUAUUUUUCUUUAUAUUAAAAAUAAUAUUCGCAAUUAUUGUAGUGUUGGUAAUUAAAUCAUUGCUAUAAAUAAUUGGGAAAGAGAGGAAGAGGGAAAAUACUUUAAAAGGGAAAAGUAACGCAUUAUAGUGAUGCAGACAAAUGGCUUUCCUUUCGAUUAUUUUGUUAUAACAAAUCAUCGUUUGUAAGAGUAAUUACAGGGGAAUACCACUGAGGGGUUACUCUAAUUAUGGUGGACGUCAAGAAACUCGUGAGUUUGCUUUGAGUCUUUUAAGAUAAAUGCGCCGCUCUCUGAGUCUUCUGUCAGUUUGCGAGAUUCUCGUGACUUACACAAAUUACAUAAAAAGUUUAGUUUUCUCGAAGUAUUUAUCACCGCUCAUAUGUAAAGAUAGUUAUUGUUAUGUUCUUCUAUGGAAUGGAUUAAUUCAAGAAUGG
rnacentral:lncRNA from 1 species